CAGGGUUUGAGAAUAAAAGUAGGGUUGGAUUUUGAAUUGCUAAGAUAAAACUCUAUUAUUGUUACGUUACUAGCUUAAUGUAGGUUCACCACAACAAAUGUGGGCAACAGCCACAUUUGUAUUGCCACGAGCUGAAGGAAAUGUUGAAAUUGGGGUAGUUGGUGUCCAUAUCUCCCGCGUACAAACACAAAGUGUGGUGAGAAAGUGGGUGGAUUCAACACGAAGGUAGCCGCCAUGUAUUGUAUUCUCCGCCUCCUAGAUCUGGGACAACUCGGCAGUAAAACUAUUGUUCUUAGUUGUAUGAUAUCAAAUUUGGUCACAGGUUGCUGGAGGCCUAGCUUGUGGAACUCCUCAUAUGAUCAGUGCUACGAUUAAAGGCCUUGCUUGGUUGGCUUAUGAGUUUUCUGACCUUGUUUUCAAUUGCUAGCAAUUUGCUACGAUUAAAGUUCAUUUCAUUUAUAAUUUCUUUUAGAUCUGAACAAUUGCUUUGGUGCGUCGUCGUUUUCAGUCUCGGUGGAGGUAAGUUUGAUCCGAGUUUGGAUCUGGCUCGAGCUAGUAGUGGUAUACUUCCUCUGUGGGUGAGAGCUGCGGCCUUGCCUGUCUCGUUGGUGAGAAGUUGAUGGGGCUAAGAAUUUUGGCUGAUCUGCUGGUCGGUGGAGGUGGCCUUCGUAGGAGACUUGUGGGACUGGGUAUAAGGCGAGGCUUUCCUCAUAGGUUGUUGGGUGAUGGUGAUGCUGAGAUGAGCUCGUUUCUUUAAAGCCACGGAGGAGGGCAAUGGUUCUCGAUUUGGGUGCGAUUGCUGGUGGUGCUAAUGGCAAUGAUUUGGCUGACCAGAUCGACCUCAUUAGAAUAUGAUUUCAGGCAUGGGUCUACGCCUAUGAUCUCUAAUCCAAGAUCUCAAAUUUCAUCAGAGUAGAGGCUGAAACAAUGGCAAUGACUGAAUCCAAGCCGAUCAUCAUUGAACCCAUUCAUCCCCAGAAAUAUGAAAUAAAAUGAAUAAGAUCAGGGAUAUCAGCCAUCCAUCCCCAGGAAUACUCGAUAUUGGACCAGAAGCAUUUAAAAAAAAAAAACAAUUAUAAUAAUAAUUCCUACCCACCAUUGUUGUUAGUGGUCCCAAUGUGUCAGAGCUUCUCAGAGAAGCCACAGACAAGGAAAUCGAGACUAUUAAGGGGAAAGCCACCCCUCUACAGAGCACUGACCCUAUUAAAUGUGGCUGUAGUGUGGCUAUGGCUGCUAGACACACACAUGUGUGUCCUUUGAGGUCUUUUUGUCACGCAAGCUGUGUGUGGCCUUUGCCCAUAAUUGUAGUAGUGGUUGCUCUACGAUUUCCUAAACA